rnacentral:lncRNA from 1 species
GGGUGUCGGAUCGAGUCGGCCGUAGAUAGUUGAAUAGAUGUAAUUUAAGCGACCAUCAGCAAUUUUUCCUAAAGGUGGGUAAACUUGACUUCAAGUGGAUGAAUUACUGCGAUGAACUUUUUCACCGGCGAUGCCAUGAUUAUGCCUCUUGAGAUUAGAAGGGUUGAUGGCAUGUCCAAAUUCUAAUUUGCAAUGUAUAAACACAUCAAUUACAGGGCCUUUUCGUUGAUUAAGUAUUUUAACUGACUUAAGCAAUCGUUUUUAAAAAAAUAUUUUUAAAUUUUCUAUUUUUCAUAAAACAAACGGAGCAAUAAAAUUUGCAAAAGAAUUUUGAAUGAUGUAAAAAGAAAUUCUUGAUUGAUGCUGUUAAGAAAAGCGUCACUUAAUACGUAAAUAUGUGACUUCAAUUUUAUCUAUAAAUUCUGAGCUAAUUUUCGUUAUGACAAGAUAGAAUUACUUUUUGUAGUAACACUUGGAAGCUUUGGAUGAUCAAACCUCAACUCCUACUGUUCAUGAUUUAUUAGGAUUACGACUUUAUUUUUUAUUUUCAUGAUUAAAUCUCUCUCAAGAACAAGAAUAAAGAAAUCGGGAAAAUAUUUUUGUAUCAGAUUAUUCGCUAAUUUAAGGUCAAUACUAUAUUACGAAACUAUAUAUAUAUAUAUUCCAUAAUUGCAUAUAUGACGUUUGCACAGUUUACCUUUUCUUGGGCUUCCUCUCUUUCGUAGGCGACUUUGAUAAUCUCACUCCUCCGGCCGUCACCGUCCUCGGACGAUCUUCUUGUUCCGCCAUCGCUGCCAUCCUCCUUCCCUCUCUCUCUCCCCC